AUACGUAGGCGGCGAGCGUUAUCCGGAAUUACUGGGUGUAAAGGGUCCGCAGGCGUCUUGUUAAGUUAAGAGUUAAAUCUCAAAGCCCAACUUUGAGGCUGCUCCUAAGACUGGCAAGAUAGAGUGUAGAAGACGGAAGUGGAAUUCCUGGUGGAGAGGUAAAAUCCGUAGAUAUCAGGAGGUACACCUGUGGUGAAGACGGCUUCCGAGUCUAUAACUGACGCUCAUGGACGAAAGCUAGGGGAGCAAACAGGAUUAGAUACCCUGGUAGCUCUAGCCCUAAACGAUGAAUACUUGGUAAUAGGGAGUACAUACUCUUUAUCGCCGAAGCUAACGCAUUAAGUAUUCCACCUGGGGACUACGGCCGCAAGGUUGAA
rnacentral:rRNA from 1 species